UCGUCGAUCAAUGACCCUGGAAAUCGCCGUUUCCAUUCACUAACUGCUAGUUUCACUACUAAUUUAGCUGCCAUGGAUCUGUUCCUUACUGAAGCAACUAUGUUGAUCACUUGAUUGUUUGUCAAUACAUCCCAUAUCUGCAAUUUCGUGGAAACUUGAGGAGUUGAAAUGAGACCGUAAUCUUUGAGGCAAAAAUCUCCCAAGGAUCUUGACAUGGCGAGACCUGGAUAAUUUCCAUCUGAGAACCGCCCGGGAGUCACCUACGCUUGCAACCACCAAAUGCUCUCCCUGAUGAUCAAAAUGGUCAAGGGAUUGGAUAAAAAUUGGAAAAUAUAGGAUGUUAUUUUCAAGGAAAUUCACCUGUUUGAUAAUGGUCACGGCUGUUGUUCCACUACAGAAACAAUCAAUAGAUGAAUCCAAGCUGAGUUCUUGAUCAACUUCUUUGAAAGAUUCUUCAAGAGCAGCUUCCCAUUUCGAAACCAACCGGUUUCGUUGUUUUCCACCAUUGUUAUCUGGUUCAACACAAGCUUCAGAAACCACCCCAUUUUCAGGUUCAUAUAGCUGCUUCUUGAUAGCUGUGGAGAGCUUCGUGGGUAGAAUGUCUCGUGCAUGGCGAGCAACCCUAUGACCAGAUGGGCCAUGACCAUCAAAAACUCCACAAAACAUCAAAUCUUUCUCCCCUGAGAAAUCCUAGGAUCCACGUAACCGAACGGUGGCGCCAUCUUCACCACGUCGAACCUCUUCUCCAUCAUCACCAUUGGAAUCCCUAUCAUCUUUAUCAUAGGUCGUGUAGCCUCCAUACAGGUUAUCUUUUGUACAACAAGCUCCCAUUUCUGAGACGACCCUCCAACUAGGGCAAUCUCAAAAAGGAAUUUGACCCAACAGAAGAGAUGAAAUACCAACAAAAUUUCUGAGAAAGAAAAUGCAUUAAAGUGAAGAUGGAUCGAGGAUUUCUCUGAUUCUGAACCCAAAGGAAGCAGAAACAGAGAAGAGGAGGAGAGGAGAGAUAGUUGAAUUAUAAUUCACAAUGGAGAGGGAGAUAAUGGAUUGAAGGAAUGUUGUUUGGAUGAGAAUGUGGAAUUUCAACGAACAAAAUUAUAUUUAGAAAAUCAAGGGUGGUGUCUUACCACCAUGGGUCUCUUGUUGACAUUUGUGUUUAGUGGGUUUGUUCUUAUUUCAUUUCUUCAACCUA